GAUGAACGCUGGCGGCGUGCCUAACACAUGCAAGUCGAACGCUCGCAAGAGAGUGGCGCACGGGUGAGUAACACGUAGCUAAUCUGCCCUCAAGACAAGGAUAACUGUAGGAAACUACUGCUAAUACUUGAUAAGCUUACGGACUGUAGAGGUCUAUAAGAAAGAUUUAUCGCUUGAGGAUAAGGCUGCGCGCCAUCAGCUAGUUGGUAAGGUAAUGGCUUACCAAGGCGACGACGGCUAGGGGACCUGAGAGGGUGACCCCCCACACUGGGACGUGAGACACGGCCCAGACUCCUACGGGAGGGCAGCAGUGAGGAAUAUUGCUCAAUGGGCGGCAAGCCUGAAGCAGCGACGCCGCGUGGAUGAAG
rnacentral:rRNA from 1 species